rnacentral:rRNA from 1 species
AGCGAACGCUGGCGGCAUGCCUAACACAUGCGAGUCGCACGGGGGGGCUUCGGCCUCCCAGUGGCGGACGGGUGAGGAACGCGUAGGGACCUGUCGAGGGGUGGGGGAUAACCGCGGGAAACUGCGGCUAAUACCGCAUGACGCCGCGGCGUGACAGCCGGGGCCAAAGGCGAAAGCCGCCCGCCGAGGGGCCUGCGUCCGAUUAGCUGGUUGGCGGGGUAGCGGCCCACCAAGGCGUCGAUCGGUAGCUGGUCUGAGAGGGUGAGCAGCCACACCGGGACUGAGACACGGCCCGGACUCCUACGGGAGGCAGCAGUGGGGAAUAUUGGACAAUGGGCGCAAGCCUGAUCCAGCAAUGCCGCGUGGGUGAAGAAGGUCUUCGGAUUGUAAAGCCCUUUCGGCGGGGACGAUGGUGACGGUACCCGCAGAAGAAGCCCCGGCUAACUUCGUG